AUGUCAGAAGAAGAAAGAAGUGAGGCCUCCCGACACGUUUUACGUGUUAUUGACUCGUUGAAGAAGAAAGUUACAGCAGAUCGUUUUACUUACAUUAAGAAUAGGAUAGAGGAUAACAAGAUAAAGCUCAGCCCCGUUACACAAAGCACUGGCAAUUCUUCAAAAAUCUGGCAAAGAAAUACAUCAAAUAGCACUGACUCGAAUCUGCUGACAAGUAGGCAAGACGAUGUACUCUCUUCUGGGCCUCGUAUUGUAGUAUCCCCUGCUGACGAAGAUGGUGUCAGUUCUGACGAAGAAAGCUCCUAUGCCGCGUCAACUGUUAUGUUGGGUGGAAAUCUAACUGCAAAGAAUGUCACUAGGCCAAUUAAACUACCAGAAGCACCAAAAAUUCCGCCUUAUACAACAUGGACAUUUUUGGACAGGAACCAGAGGAUGACAGAAGACCAAUCUGUACUUGGUCGACGAAGGAUUUACUAUGAUGCAAAUUGUGGUGAAGCUUUAAUUUGCAGUGAUAGUGAGGAUGAAGCUGUUGAGGAUGAAGAGGAGAAAAAGGAGUUCAAAGUUUCUGAAGACUGUCUUAUUCGGAUGACAAUUCAAGAAUGUGGCAUGUCUGAUGCAGUGCUGGAAACCCUAGCUCGAUGUUUUGAUAGGGCAGCUGGUGAUAUAAAGGCCAGAUAUGAGAUCCUAAAUGGGGAGAAAACUGGGGGUUCUCUUAAAAAGUUUUCUGAACUUAAUGCCAAAGUGGAAGAUCUCUACCGUGAUAAAGAUUUGGAUGCAGCAUUGGAUUCCUUUGACAAUCUCUUUUGUCGCCGAUGUCUAGUUUUUGAUUGCAAACUACAUGGGUGUUCUCAAGAUUUAGUAUUUCCUACAGAAAAGCAACCACCUUGCAACAGCAUGGAUGAUGGUAUACCAUGUGGUAUUCAUUGUUAUAAACUGGCUCCUAAACCAGAUGCAACCACCACAGUUGAUUCUGACAUGCUUGACAUAGAGGAGCCAACUCACUCAUCCGAUAAUACAAGGAACCAGUUAAGCUCAAAUAAGAAAAAACAGGGUUCUAGUGGUAAGAAAGCGAAAUCCCAACAAAGUGAAGGCUCUUCAACCCAAAGGGUUGCCUCAGAAAGCAGUGACUCAGAAGGACAUCCAAUGAGCACUAAAUCUCCACAACAAACAUCUUGUCAAUCAAAAGUCAAAAUUAGCCCAAAAGGUGGAAUCAGGAAAAGUACUAAUAGAAGAAUUGCCGAGCGGAUUCUUAUGAGUGUGAAAAAAGGACAUAGAGAAGUGGCACCAUCAGAUUCUAAUUCUGGUGGAUGUCUCUGGCCAAGGGACAUGAAGCUUAGAUCCGAUACACGAAAUGGACACAAGGAUUCAGUUGCAUCCCCACAACAGAAUUCUCCAAGCACAAGAAGUUCUCGGAAGAAGGAUGCGCCUCAAAUGGAGAAUAGUUUAGCUUCAGGGGAAGAUCGUAAUGAUUCAACAGAGGAAACCAAGAACGAACAUUCAGCAACAGAUGGCCAUGAUAGUUUGAUGAUAGAAGAUGUUGAGGAUAAUAUAUGCAGGCAAGAAAAUAAAUGUAGAUCCUGGAAGGUGAUUGAGCAAGGGCUUCUAGUGAAAGGUUUGGAGAUUUUUGGAAGGAACAGUUGUUUAAUUGCUCGGAACCUUCUCUGUGGAAUGAAAACAUGCAGCGAUGUUUUUCAGUAUAUGAGUUAUAUUGAAAACAGCAGCGCAUCUGGAACUCUUAGCAGGGGUGAUUCUCUCGUCAAAGGAUAUAUAAAGGGACAUGAGUUGCGUGUGAGAUCACGGUUUAUUAGAAGGCGAGGUAGAGUUCGUCGUUUGAAGUACACCUGGAAAUCUGCAGGCUACCAUUUUAUAAGGAAAAGGAUUACAGAAAGGAAGGAUCAGCCUUGUCGGCAAUAUAACCCAUGUGGUUGUCAAUCAUCAUGUGGGAAACAGUGUCCAUGUCUUGUAAAUGGGACAUGCUGUGAGAAAUACUGUGGGUGUCCGAAAAUGUGCAAGAAUCGUUUUCGAGGUUGUCAUUGUGCAAAGAGCCAGUGUCGCAGUCGCCAGUGUCCAUGCUUUGCUGCUGACAGGGAAUGUGAUCCUGACGUGUGCAGAAACUGUUGGGUAGGGUGUGGAGAUGGUUCAUUGGGAGUUCCCAACCAAAGAGGCGAUAAUUAUGAAUGCCGAAACAUGAAGCUACUUCUUAAACAACAACAAAGGGUCUUACUUGGGAAAUCUGAUGUUUCUGGCUGGGGAGCAUUUCUCAAGAAUACUGUUAGCAAGCAUGAGUAUCUUGGCGAGUACACUGGGGAGCUUAUCUCUCACAAGGAAGCAGAUAAGCGUGGAAAGAUAUAUGAUCGUGAGAAUUCGUCCUUCCUUUUCAACCUGAAUAAUGAGUUUGUUCUGGAUGCCUUCAGAAUGGGAGACAAGCUUAAGUUUGCCAACCACUCCCCUGACCCGAAUUGCUAUGCCAAGGUCAUCAUGGUAGCAGGCGAUCACAGGGUGGGCAUAUUUGCCAAAGAGCGGAUCGGUUCAGGCGAGGAGAUCUUCUAUGAUUACCGCUAUGAGCCUGACCGAGCCCCUGUGUGGGCUCGAAAGCCCGACGCUCCCGGAGCGAAAGACCCCGGGCAGCCAUCCAGCGGGCGGGCCAAGAAGCUCGCCCACUGA
rnacentral:rRNA from 1 species